rnacentral:lncRNA from 1 species
UCCUGCUUGGGACAAUUUUAAACAAACACAGGCAUUGCCUCUUAAGGAGGACUUCAGACAGUUUGCCCGGUCAAAUAACAGACCGGGUCUCCAGACUACAUGAAGAAGGAAUGUUUAUACCUCAAAGCAAUUGCUAAAAAGCAAAGCAAGCAACUAAAGCAACUAAAGUGUACCUGAAAAAGUCAAACUUGUUAGUAAACAAGUCAACAGUUCAAAGCAAAAGGAAAUGAAUAAACAGUCAACCACAGAAGGUCAACUGUGCAAAGCAAGACUCAAACACAUGAGUCAAACCUACAAAACAAAGGUUAGUACAUGAUAUGUAAUCAAAACCAAUCACAUUUGUACGAUCUCAAUGGCAAUGGUGCUCAACCUGAAACAGGAACUCAAUAGUAAGUCCAAAGGACCACUAGGGCUAGCCUAGGGUCAAAGAUGAAAGAAAAAGUCAAGGCAGCAAGGAAAAGUCAACUCAAAGUUAAAGUCAACCAAUUAGAAAG